GCGCUGAGGCAGCGCCCGGGCAGGGCGGGGAGCGGGGCCGCCCCCCGCGCCGGGACCGCCCCUGCCCCGGCAGCCGCAACGCCUCUGGGCACGGGAACGGCCCGAGCCCUGAGGCGGCCCUCACGGGGGGGCCUCAGCAGCAGCCCGAAAUGCCAGCGAUUCCACCCAAAAUGGCUGAGGCGGCUCGGGCUGGGAGGGGAAGGAGCCGAGCUGCCCCCAGGCACCGCAUGGGCCGGCCAAGGGCGGCUCUGCUCCAGCCCUGCAGGCGCAGCAGCAGCAUGAAGGGGCUGUUGGAACUGCAAGCCCUGCCAUGGAGACCGCGUCUCCGCCAGCUGCUGUCGGUUUCUGGCUCUCCGCUUGUUUGCUCACCCAGUGGAUAAACCAGAAGGGUGCCUGCGUGCUUCACUCGCAUGCAGUGUCGAAAAGCUGUUUCCUAUAAAGGCAGAACCCUGAAUAGAAACAGAAUCACAGAAGCAUCUAGGUUGGAAGAGACCUCAAGAUCAUCGAGUCCAACCUCUGACCUAACGCUAACAGUCCCCACUAAACCAUAUCCCUAAGCUCUACAUCUAAACGUCCAUCAGGAAGUUCAGUGUGGCACCCGCUGCAGCCUGGAAGGAGGUAGAAUAUAUAGAGAGAAAAGAGAAAGGAGCACCUAAGUGAGGGAGACACGAAGCUCUGACUUGCUAAGCCAGCCCCAAAUCCCAGUGUUGGUCCUCUACAAGGUGGUGUGAACUCAUGCAGAAGGAUGCAGGUUAUCCCGCCUCGAGGUACUGCAGAAUUGGAAGGAUGGAUCAUUAAGAGUGUGGAAAGGUGCACGUCUGAGCAGAGAGUGGGAAAAAACUUCACCUAAGAAAACAGAGACAAGGAGUUUAAAAAGUCUCAAAACGGUUGGUGAUGGAAGACACCUUUGGAGAUCAUCUUGCCCAGCCCCUCUGCCUAGAGCUGUGCCAGCUACAGCAGGUUUCUCAAGGCCAUGGUCAGGCUUAUUCCUGCCCUGGCUGAUGUUUUAGCUGCUGAAAGUCUCUGCUGAACCUAGACCUCAAGGGACUGCCUGGGGGUUAAAUGCUAAGCAGCUUAAUGACCGUUCACAGUCAGCCUGCAGAAGCUGGAGAGGAGGAUGGCAGUAAAAACCCCAAGAGCUCAAAUGUCAAGGAGCACUUCUGCUUUCAGGACACUUCUCUGAGCUGUGCCGUGUCUUUGUUGCAGCCAGCAUGGAACAGCACUGAAGUCCACAGGACCACUUAUCUUGGAAAUAAGAACAUGACCCACAUUCUGCCCUGUUAUUCAGGAAGAAAUCUCACUAGGAAGCCUACUGAAAUCAAUAAACUUCUUCCAGAUUUACACAGAGAUAACAGGGAUUAGAAUUUCUUCCCGUAGCAUAUGUUUUCAGCAAUGACAAUAUGGAUAGUCUCAUAUACAAAUAUCUGACUUGCUAAAGUGAAGUUCAGCAAUGCCAGGUGUGUUAUUUUGGUAUUUAAGUGUUUUAGAAGCAGGGUAAUUAUUUAGCCCAUUGCAUUCAAAAUGUUUCCGUGCCCUUGUGCUUCCCAACAACAACUUAGUAAGGUGCAGAGAUCCUUUGCAAGGCAGCAAGCUCCUGCAAAUACAGAACCCCAAAACCACUGGAGUAGGAAGAGCUGUAUCUUGCAUGUUGUGGUAAUGACUAUAAUUGAGGCACUGCCAUCAUUAUUUUUUUUUUUUUGCCUUUACUUACAUUUUUGAAUGGGUUAUUACUAAAUAUUAUGGACAGUACAAUAUUACAGCAAGACUGGAGGUGGCAAUCACUGUGGAUCUUUUCAAUAUCAAUUUAAUUUAAGCAAGAAAUCUAACUUGCAUGGAAUAUUGUAUUAUUUUUCUAGAAACACAGACCUUCUGCCAUGGAUUUGCAGAAUCCAACUGCAAGAAUGCCUUCCCCUGAAAAUUAUCGUUUUAAUUGUGUUCCAGUGACUUAAUAUUUACGCAUUUAGAAAGUAAGUGCUGUGGCAUUUCAAAAGGCUCCUGUGAAUGGCAAGCUGACAAGUGCUUGCAUAUCAUUCCAAGCAGAACUACUUCAUAUUGUUCUGCUGACUAUAACAGCUAUAAUUACUCUUUUAUUCAAAAUGCUCAACAUGUUUCAAGAUACAAUACAAAAUCUUCCCAUAGUGUUCUUAGGAGUCUGCUUUCCACUGAAGAGUAGAUCCUGAAGCAGUGGAACAUGUAAAUUAACACUAUGCCAAGAGCUGCCCCAAAUAAACAUCACCCCGUUGUUUGCAGUUAAUUUGGCUCAGUCUGACAACACUCAGCUAUCAGCCUGCUGUGUACUGACCUUACAGAGAGCGAGGUAGCAGUGCAACAAGCUGUUGACUGUGCUUAGACAAACAAAGUUAUCUAUCAUACUGGGCUCUUGCUUGCUUUUUUCAGCGUGCUUACUGUAGGUCUGUGUUUACCUACUGGUAAACCCGAGCAUUUAGUCACUCUACUCGUUGUUUCUUUGUUCCAGUUUGUGCUUGGAGAAAACCAAUGCUCUAAAACCUCUUUGGUGUUUUAAAGUCACUCAGAAGCUCACAGGGAGUUCAUCCCUGAAACUGGUGUAAAUAUUACUGCUUGCUUCACAGAGCCAAGAAUUUCAUUUCUGGUCUGUUGAUUUCCUGUUAAAGGCUCAUUACAAGUUUCUGCUGCUUGCAUUAGCGUUAGAAAAAUACUUAAUUGUUUCUGCUUAAAAACAGUCACCCCGUGUAAAUCAAGCAUAGGAACACAAAUCGUAUAGACUAACAUUUUUCAGAAAUAAAUUUGUAACCAGGCUUUUAGAUCAAUUUAACAUAGAAUAAAAAUCUCAUACAAACACAACGAUGGAGCCAUCUCUUCAAUGUCAGAGCUGCCCAUUCAGGCUGCAAAUGUGAGCCAUAGAAUAUUUUUCUGAAAUGAAUUUCUGCUAUUACUUACACUAACAAUUACACUCCUAUGAUUAUAACUCAGUAAAGUUGCAAAAAAACAAACAAACAAACAAAAAACACUUGUGGAGGAGGGAGCCAAUAGAUGGUUUGAAAUUAAAAGGAAUGAAAGAACGUAAAACAUAAAUGCUGUUUCCUCAACAAUUCAAACAUGUUGCACCCAUAUUUUGAAUACUGAGCACAGUCCUUGUCCUUCCAUUCCCAGAAGGACAUUGCAGACUAGAAAAGAUACAGAAAGGGAAACAAAAGCAAAAGUAUAGAAUGUUUUCUAAGGAAAAUAUAUACACAGGCUUCUUCAACAUGGAAAAAAAGAGAGCUGAGGCUGGCACAAGAACAAGGUUUGCUAACUGUAAUUGCUAUGGAAAAGAUGAGUGGGGAAGGAGUGCGUACUUUAAGCUGCUUCUAGUGCUGGGGAGAUACUGGUGGCACUGCUUGCCUUGGGAUACGAUGAAUGCUACCUAAAAUCUUACUCACGUUCAAAAGCUGGUUAGAGAAAUGACAGGAGAAUCCACAAAGCUGCUGCCUCUGGUUCAGAAGUGCCUAAGGGGCAAAUCACUGGAAGCUAAAAACAUUACAGCAUGCCAUGAGCAGUCCAGCACACACCUUCUGCCACUGUGCGCUUUCCACUCAUCUGCUCUGGGCACCGCUGGUGACAGAGGGGACUCGGUGCAUCCCUGGGCAAAACACUGCAUAGCCUCCUUGCAACCACUUCCCACCAGUUGUUCAGGUAAAGAAACUUAUUUCCAAUUCCCUGAAGAACCUCAAAGCACCUUACAAACUGUGAGACAAACCCUCACCAGCCUGCCAAAGCUAGUAUUUCAUUCCCAGGCACGUACAAUUCCCCUCCUUGGGCAAGCCCUGUCAGUAGAAAGUGUAAGAAAGGAUCAUUUUGGCACAUCACUCCAAGAUGUUUACUUGCACACCAAAGAACCACACCAAGAGAUUUUUGCUCUGUCAUAACAGAAGAGAAAUAUUUGAUUUGAAAGAUGCUAGAUCUUUUUCUGAUCUGUCUCUGGAAGUCUGAUUAAGAAAAAAAAAUAAUCUUUGACGUAUCGCAAAGGCCUCACUGAAUCCUGAAAACAGUGAGAGACAGCUGUGAAAAAUGUAUAUAUCUGAGACUGAUUUCAUGCCCUUCUCAGAGCAUGUCAUAGCGAAGCAAAGUGCAGAAUUCUUCCUAUCUCACUGUAAAACAAAACAAAACUCCAAACCAGCAAGAACAACAAACCAAAUUUGCUCAUUUUCCCCUCUACAAAAAAUGUUGCUUUAAUAUUUGAAAAAUGGGUUGAGUCCUGAUAGAAAUGAGUCAUUGCAAGUAGAUGUCUAAAAAUUGUUCACCACUGUCAAUAGCAUAUUAAUAUUUCAAUUAUUUUAUUCAAGUGCAUCAAACACUUAUUUGUAUACUCCAAUGCUUUUCAGUGGCCUGUCCAUUUUAAAACCUGUCUACUUUAAGCUCAGUAUUUUGUAUUCUUGCCACACUAAGCAAUCCAGGUGGGUGCUUAAGACGCUAAAAAGCUUUCAAAAAUACCAAGUUUCAUUAAUUUCUGUGCUCCCCAUUUAUCACUGCCAGGCUGCAAAAAGGAACAGGAGCAAAAGAAAAAGUGUAUGGCACAGAAGAUCUAAGGGUUGCUUGCAAGUUUUUCCCCCCUCCUCCCCAAAUCUACCACAGCUAUAAAAGUGAAUUAAGUGGCCUGAUUACCUUCUAGAGAUACAGUAAUCUAUUUAGCAAAUUAAAAUGAUACACACCUAAU